rnacentral:rRNA from 1 species
GAACGCUAGCGGCAGGCUUAACACAUGCAAGUCGAGGGGCAGCGGGGAGGAAGCUUGCUUUCUCCGCCGGCGACCGGCGCACGGGUGAGUAACACGUAUGCAACCUGCCCCUGUCAGGGGGACAACCCGCCGAAAGGCGGGCUAAACCCGCGUACAUGCCACCGGGGCAUCCCGGAGGCAGGAAAGGCUUCGGCCGGACAGGGAUGGGCAUGCGGCGCAUUAGGCAGAAGGCGGGGUAACGGCCCACCUAACCGACGAUGCGUAGGGGUUCUGAGAGGAAGGUCCCCCACACUGGUACUGAGACACAGACCAGACUCCUACGGGAGGCAGCAGUGAGGAAUAUUGGUCAAUGGUCGGGAGACUGAACCAGCCAAGCCGCGUGAGGGAGGAAGGUACAGAGUAUCGUAAACCUCUUUUGUCAGGGAACAAAGACUGGGACGCGUCCCCGGAUGAGUGUACCUGAAGAAAAAGCAUCGGCUAACUCCGUGCCAGCAGCCGCGGUAAUACGGAGGAUGCGAGCGUUAUCCGGAUUUAUUGGGUUUAAAGGGUGCGCAGGCGGUCUGUUAAGUCAGCGGUCAAAGCCCGGGGCUCAACCCCGGCCCGCCGUUGAAACUGGCAGUCUCGAGUUGGAGAGAAGUAUGCGGAAUGCGCGGUGUAGCGGUGAAAUGCAUAGAUAUCGCGCAGAACUCCGAUUGCGAAGGCAGCAUGCCGGCUCCACACUGACGCUGAGGCACGAAAGCGUGGGUAUCGAACAGGAUUAGAUACCCUGGUAGUCCACGCAGUAAACGAUGAAUGCUGGCUGUCCGGGGGGACUGACCCCUGGGUGGCGAAGCGAAGGCGAUAAGCAUUCCACCUGGGGAGUACGCCGGCAACGGUGAAACUCAAGGGAAUUGACGGGGGCCCGCACAAGCGGAGGAACAUGUGGUUUAAUUCGAUGAUACGCGAGGAACCUUACCCGGGCUCAAACGGGGAGUGACUCAGGCAGAGACGCCUGUUUCCCACGGGACACUCCCCGAGGUGCUGCAUGGUUGUCGUCAGCUCGUGCCGUGAGGUGUCGGCUUAAGUGCCAUAACGAGCGCAACCCCCGCGUGCAGUUGCUAACAGAUAACGCUGAGGACUCUGCACGGACUGCCGGCGCAAGCCGCGAGGAAGGCGGGGAUGACGUCAAAUCAGCACGGCCCUUACGUCCGGGGCGACACACGUGUUACAAUGGGUGGUACAGCGGGAAGCCAGGCGGCGACGCCGAGCGGAACCCGAAAUCCACUCUCAGUUCGGAUCGGAGUCUGCAACCCGACUCCGUGAAGCUGGAUUCGCUAGUAAUCGCGCAUCAGCCAUGGCGCGGUGAAUACGUUCCCGGGCCUUGUACACACCGCCCGUCAAGCCAUGGGAGCCGAGGGCGCUUGAAGUGCGUCGCCGCGAGGCGCGCCCUAGAGCGAAAUCGGUGACU